UACGUAGGGUGCGAGCGUUGUCCGGAAUUAUUGGGCGUAAAGAGCUUGUAGGCGGUCUGUCGCGUCUGCUGUGAAAAUCCGGGGCUCAACCCCGGACUUGCAGUGGGUACGGGCAGACUAGAGUGUGGUAGGGGAGACUGGAAUUCCUGGUGUAGCGGUGAAAUGCGCAGAUAUCAGGAGGAACACCGAUGGCGAAGGCAGGUCUCUGGGCCACUACUGACGCUGAUGAGCGAAAGCUAGGGGAGCAAACGGG
rnacentral:rRNA from 1 species